rnacentral:rRNA from 1 species
UACGUAGGGUGCGAGCGUUAAUCGGAAUUACUGGGCGUAAAGCGUGCGUAGGCGGUUCGUUGUGUCUGUGGUGAAAGCCCCGGGCUUAACCUGGGAAUGGCCAUGGAAACUGGCGGAGCUGGAGUGUGGCAGAGGGGGGUGGAAUUCCGCGUGUAGCAGUGAAAUGCGUAGAGAUGCGGAGGAACACCGAUGGCGAAGGCAGCCCCCUGGGCUAACACUGACGCUGAGGCACGAAAGCGUGGGGAGCAAACAGG